CUUUGCUGCUCUGCUUUCUCUGUAACACAGCAGAUACAUGAAUCCUCUGCGAUGGCUACAAAUAAAGUUUCAAACAAAUCAAAGAAGAAAGUGCGGUGGGAAUCACCUGAGGGAGUGCUUNNNNNNNNNNNAGCUAGAUAUGUGCUCAAAGCAUGGUGAUGUUGUUCAAGCUUUGCACUUGUAUGAUGAGGCACGAAGCAAUGGAGUCCAGCUUAACCAACACCACUACAAUGUGC
rnacentral:misc_RNA from 1 species